rnacentral:tRNA from 1 species
AGCAGUUUGGCCUAGUGGUUAAGGCAUCAGGCUAGAAGUCAGGAAAUUGUGAGUUCUAAUCUCACCUUAGCUC